rnacentral:rRNA from 1 species
UACACAUGCAAGUCGAACGGCAGCACGGGGGCAACCCUGGUGGCGAGUGGCGAACGGGUGAGUAACAUAUCGGAACGUGCCCUGGAGUGGGGGAUAACUAGUCGAAAGACUAGCUAAUACCGCAUACGAUCUACGGAUGAAAGUGGGGGAUCGCAAGACCUCAUGCUCGUGGAGCGGCCGAUAUCUGAUUAGCUAGUUGGUGGGGUAAAGGCCUACCAAGGCAUCGAUCAGUAGCUGGUCUGAGAGGACGACCAGCCACACUGGGACUGAGACACGGCCCAGACUCCUACGGGAGGCAGCAGUGGGGAAUUUUGGACAAUGGGCGCAAGCCUGAUCCAGCAAUGCCGCGUGAGUGAAGAAGGCCUUCGGGUUGUAAAGCUCUUUUGUCAGGGAAGAAACGGUGG